AUCCGGCUGACGAGUCCCGAAUAGGACGGAAUGUGCCUCCUAGAU
rnacentral:hammerhead_ribozyme from 1 species